GGCGUGCUUCAUACAUGCAAGUCGUGCGAGAAAACUUCCUUCGGGAAGUGAGUAGAGCGGCGCACGGGUGAGUAACACGUGGGUAAUCUACCCAGGAGUUUGGGAUAACUCGGGGAAACCCGGGCUAAUACCGAAUACGGCCUGACGGUCCUCGGACCGACAGGAGAAAGCGGGCCAAUGCUUGCAAGCUCGCGCCCCUGGAUGAGCCCGCGUCCCAUUAGCUUGUUGGUGAGGUAAAGGCUCACCAAGGCUUUGAUGGGUAGCUGGUCUGAGAGGAUGAUCAGCCACACUGGAACUGAGACACGGUCCAGACUCCUACGGGAGGCAGCAGUAGGGAAUUUUGGUCAAUGGGCGAAAGCCUGAACCAGCAACGCCGCGUGCAGGAUGAAGGCCCUCGGGUCGUAAACUGCUGUCAGGAGGGAAGAACGGCGGUUCGGUUAAUACCCGGGCCGCGUGACGGUACCUCCAAAGGAAGCACCGGCUAACUCCGUGCCAGCAGCCGCGGUAAUACGGAGGGUGCAAGCGUUGUUCGGAAUUACUGGGCGUAAAGCGCGUGUAGGCGGCUUGGUAAGUCGGAUGUGAAAGCCCGGGGCUCAACCCCGGAAUUGCAUCCGAAACUGCCUCGCUAGAGUCCCGGAGAGGAAGGCAGAAUUCCCAGUGUAGGGGUGAAAUCCGUAGAUAUUGGGAGGAAUACCAGUGGCGAAGGCGGCCUUCUGGGACGGUGACUGACGCUCAGACGCGAA
rnacentral:rRNA from 1 species